rnacentral:rRNA from 1 species
UACGUAGGUGGCAAGCGUUGUCCGGAAUUAUUGGGCGUAAAGCGCGCGCAGGCGGUUUCUUAAGUCUGAUGUGAAAGCCCCCGGCUCAACCGGGGAGGGUCAUUGGAAACUGGGGAACUUGAGUGCAGAAGAGGAGAGUGGAAUUCCACGUGUAGCGGUGAAAUGCGUAGAGAUGUGGAGGAACACCAGUGGCGAAGGCGACUCUCUGGUCUGUAACUGACGCUGAGGCGCGAAAGCGUGGGGAGCAAACAGG